AUUAAGAAUAAAAGGGAGGGGCAUUUAAUAAAAAGAAAACCUAUUUUCUUUAGUUUUCUGCUGAACUUUCUAAACAACAAAGUUAUUUCCUCAAGAAAGCUUCUCUUUCUAGAAAACCUCAUUCCCCUUCUCUGUCUUCUCUCUAUCUUUUCUCUCAAUUGAACCGUUAGAAUUUCGAUUCGUAGGCGCCUAAACGAUCCUGACGUCGAGAGCUUCAAUUGGCACCGAUCGAUUUCAGGAUUCCUGGUUGGUGUUGUCUAGAUUAUUCGCGUGUGGGGGUAAUGUAGCUGCGGGUCUUUGAGCUGAGAAAAGAAAUUUCAAGAUGUUGUUGAGGAGGUCCCCUUGGAGCAAGUGCUGGNGGACGCUGACGCUGCUACUUAGCUCUCUUUAGGAUUUCACUUAUUUAGCUUAUGUUAUUUUGAGAUACUAAUUAGAUUAUUUUGAAAUACUCUGCUAUGAUUAAAGUUUUAAACUAGGCCAUUCUGGAUGACUGUAAUCCUCCAAUCAAUCGCAAGUCAUACUCUGACUGUUCUCUUUAUUUGAAUGAUGACGCCUAUAUUAUAUGAUUGAGGUUAUUAUAUAUUUGAGA